CCCUUAGAUGUUCUGGGCCGCACGCGUGCUACACUGAUGCAUUCAACGAGUCUAAAACCUGGUCUGAUAGGGCUGGGUAAUCUUUUGAAAGUGCAUCGUGAUUGGGAUAGAUGAUUGCAAUUCUUCAUCUUCAACGAGGAAUGCCUAGUAAACGCAAGUCAUCAGCUUGCAUUGAUUACGUCCCUGCCCUUUGUACACACCGCCCGUCGCUCCUACCGAUUGAAUGAUCCGAUGAAUAUCAUGGAUUGAGGAUGCAAGCAGGUUCGCCUGUCUUCAUCUUCGAGAAGUGAAGUAAAUCUUAUCAUUUAGAGGAAGGAGAAGUCGUAACA
rnacentral:rRNA from 1 species